rnacentral:rRNA from 1 species
AGCUCCAAUAGCGUAUAUUAAAGUUGUUGCAGUUAAAAAGCUCGUAGUUGGAUUUCUGGUGAUAAUGACCAUCGAUGACUUGAUUGUCGUUGUGAUGUGUUGUUUUAUUGCCAUCCUCGUAGAGAUUGUUUUUGGCAUUAAUUUGUUGGAUUCGGGACCUACGUCAUUUACUGUGAAAAAAUUAGAGUGUUUAAAGCAGGCAAUUGGCUUGAAUACAUUAGCAUGGAAUAAUAAGAUAGGACUUUGGUGCUAUUUUGUUGGUUUGCACAUCAAGGUAAUGAUUAACAGAAACAGUCGGGGAUAUUAGUAUGUAAAUGUCAGAGGUGAAAUUCUUGGAUUUUUUACAGACUAACUACUGCGAAAGCAUUUAUCAAGGAUGUUUUCAUUAAUCAAGAACGAA